rnacentral:rRNA from 1 species
UACAGAGGGUGCGAGCGUUAAUCGGAAUUACUGGGCGUAAAGGGUGCGUAGGUGGUGAAGUAAGUUAGGUGUGAAAUCCCUGGGCUUAACCUCGAGAUGUCAUCGGAAACUAUUCGGCUAGAGUCCGGAAGAGGAGAGUGGAAUUCCUGGUGUAGCGGUGAAAUGCGCAGAUAUCAGGAAGAACACCUAUGGCGAAAGCAGCUCUCUGGGACGGUACUGACGCUGAGACGCGAAAGCGUGGGGAGCGAACAGG